rnacentral:rRNA from 1 species
GGAAANNGAAANUAACAAAGAUUCCCCUUAGUAANUGCGAGUGAAAGCGGACAAGCUNCAAAAUUUAAAAUNNUCAGCCUUUGGCUNUCCGAGUUGUAAUCUAGAGANNNUAAUCCNNNUGGACCGUGUGCAAGUCUCCUGGAAUUGNNNNNUNNANUUNCNNNUUNUANGACGCUCCAUUCCAGGAGACUUGCACACGGUCCAGCGCGGAUUACACUUCUNUAGAUUACAANUNNNACAGCCAAAGGCUGACAGAUUUUAAAUUUGAGCUUGUCCCNNUUCACUCGCAGUUACUAGGGGAAUCCUUGUUAGUUUCUUUUCNNNUCUUGGUNCNNUUAGAGGAAGUAAAAGUCGUAACAAGGUUUCCGUAGGUGAACCUGCGGAAGGAUCAUUAUUGAAAUAAACCUGAUGAGUUGCUGCUGGUUCUCUAGGGAGCAUGUGCACACUUGUCGUCUUUAUAUUUCCACCUUGUGCACCUUUUGUAGACCUGGAUAUCUCUCUGAAUGCACACAAGCAUUUGGGUUUGAGGGGUUGACUUUUUGGUCUCCCUUUAUAUUUCCAGGCCUAUGUUUCUUUCAUAUACCCCACUUGUGUUAUAGAAUGUAAUAAAUGGGCCUUUGUGCCUGUAAAGCUAUACAACUUUCAGCAACGGAUCUCUUGGCUCUCGCAUCGAUGAAGAACGCAGCGAAAUGCGAUAAGUAAUGUGAAUUGCAGAAUUCAGUGAAUCAUCGAAUCUUUGAACGCACCUUGCGCUCCUUGGUAUUCCGAGGAGCAUGCCUGUUUGAGUGUCAUUAAUAUAUCAACCUCCUCAACUUGUGUUGAGUGUUGGAUGUGGGGGUUCUUUCUUUGCUGGCUUCACGGUCAGCUCCCCUGAAAUGCAUUAGCGGAACAACCUGUUCACUGUUCAUUGGCGUGAUAACUAUCUACGCUGCUUGUUGACAGUGAAGCAAGUUCAGCUUCUAACAGUCCAUUAAAUUGGACAAAUUUUUAUUAAUGUGACCUCAAAUCAGGUAGGACUACCCGCUGAACUUAAGCAUAUCAAUAAGCGGAGGAAAAGAAACUAACAAGGAUUCCCCUAGUAACUGCGAGUGAAGCGGGACAAGCUCAAAUUUAAAAUCUGUCAGCCUUUGGCUGUCCGAGUUGUAAUCUAGAGAAGUGUAAUCCGCGCUGGACCGUGUGCAAGUCUCCUGGAAUGGAGCGUCAUAGAGGGG